CCCGGACCUGGAAUGUGGAUUCAAAUCAUUCAAUUAACCCGUUUUAAUUGAAAUCAAAACCAAACCAAUUAACCAAACCCUUGAAUCUCGUCUCUCUCCAUCUCUCAACUCUCGCCUGCUCCGCCCCCGCCGGCUGCUUCUACUUCCAAUCCACCGGUGGCCGGCAUCUCCUAGAUUAGGGGCUCUAAUCUCCGACACUGUAAGUGUAUCCGGUAUCUCCAAAGUUGAAACCCCAAUCCUCCCCCACCCAACUCCGCAGGACCGUAACUGCCAUCGCCUCUCGCCAAGCAUCAGCUGCCGCCUCUAAAGAAGAAGAACUGAAGAAAAGAAGCCGUGGGCAGCAGUGGCUUACUGACCUUGAUUUCAAUUUGAAGAAAAGAAGUCGUAGGCCCGCCGGCCGUAGCCCAGCAGAAGAACGAUUGAACGAAGAAGGUGAAGGUGACUUACUGACUAUGAUUUCAAUUUGAGUUAAUUUGUGUGCUAAUUAAUUUUCCAUUGCUGAAUUACCUGUCAUUUUAGUAAAAAUUAGGCACAAGAGAAAAUAGAAAUGAACCGAGUGCGAUACCCAUUACCCAAGCUCCAAAAAUUGCUGAAUUACCUGUCAUUUGUAUUGAUAUCUGCUCACUGCUCUCCCAAGUGCAAUACCCAAGCUCCAAAAAUUGAGUGCUAUGGUCGGCCUAAGGGUGAACAAAGUACAAGAAAUGGGUCUAUUUACAAAUUGUUACCAAAUCAUAUAAACUUAACCAAAAAACGAUUAGGUGCCAUGGACCCAUCCCAAAGAAAAGUGAAUGUCAAGGGCUGCUGGAAAAGGGUUAAAAAUGAUAAAGAAAAAAGCGCUAAAAUGGAUGAAAGAGGGAUCGCUUAGAAUAGAAUAUUGCAGUUGCAGAAGUCUAAAUAUUUUAAUUAUCUUAUCGAGUUCUUUUGGGCAAAAGAAGUUUGCAAAAGAUCCAACUUUUGGUUUCAUAAAGAAAGAAAAGAGAAUUUGCAUGAAAGCUGCGACUACUAACUUGUAAAAUAUUAUGAAUUUAAUUCAUUUUUAUCUCCAGAAUAUGGCUCCAACUAAAUAUAGGGAUAGGAUUACAAAUAAUUAUAAGAAGAGGAAUCCAUAAUGAUUAUGCAAUUAAGCGAUCGUGGAAGUAAUCAUGGAAAAUUAUUAAGCAUAUAUCAAAUAUUUGGAAAGUGUUUAUAAACACUUUAAAUUAUAUAUAAAUAGAUAAAAAAUAGUGAUAAAUAAAUUAAUAGUAUGGUGUAUGUCUGAAUGGAGCAUUAAAUUGGAUUGAUAAGGUGAAUUGAUAUUGUGAAAUUGGGUUGAUAAUGUGAAAUUGUGAAAUGUGAAUUGGAUUGUGAAAUGUGAAUCGCACUGCGAAUUGAGAUUGUGAAAUUGUGAAUAUAUGAUUCUUUUGUCAUUAUGAAUUAUUCUCACUCACUCCCAGUAAUAAUUGGAUAUGGGAUUGGUCAAUGUUGCAUUCUCUCUUCAUGUAUUUUGACAUUUUGUAUGCCAGAUGAGAUAUAGGUUAAAACUUAAAAAGUGGAUAAUAUGUAUCUAUCUACUAUGCUAUUUAAAUCAGGUGGUUUUGCAAAAGCUAAUGUUGUUGAAGCAUACAAUGGAGUCAAUAUUACAGUGAUGGUUGGUGGUUUCCUUAGAAAAGAGGAAAGAUGUGGGAUAUUAAAGAAUGUUUCAUAUACAAAUCCAGAAAUCCCAGGCUUCGGUUCUCAAGAAGCAUGCUGCUGCCAACAACAAGGUAAUUGGCUUAUAUUGAGCUUUCUUGAUGACCUUUUUUCAUAGAACACUGCUAUAUUAUUUUUAGUUUGCGGUAGUAUUGUUUUAUAUUUUUAUCAUUAUUAAAUUCAUAGUCAAAAACUCAAAGUUCGGCAUUAUUAUGCCCGCACUGAAAAACAUUCCUGGCUCCGCCCCUGGUCCAAUUGACAGUCAGUCAUGAAGUAAUUGAUUUUCCACGUAAUCAUUACAUGACAUCUCUGAAAUUUUAUCGAUUUCCUCUUUAAACUUUAUCUUGGAAGUCACAAUAUACAAAUUUUUCAUUUUUCCUAACAUAAAAAUCGGUUUUCAAUUGUCGAUCAUAAAAGCGCAUUAUAUGAUUAAAAUUGCUUUUGACGCAUAAACAUGUGCAUCGACAUCGGGUCAUUGCUACGUAGAAUAUGCCAAAAACAAGCAUUGAGCAAAUAAAUAUUUGCAACACUUAGCCCCAUGCACUUCUCCACUGACAAAGAAAGGAUUCUCUCAAGGCUGACAGUUCAGAGAUCGUGGGUUCGAUUCGUGGAGCUCUUGGAAAGCAAGACAUAUACUGGAAGACAGAAUUUAUCUUGGAAAGCAGGAAUGUCUUGGAAGAUAAAGCGCAACGUGGAUUGGCUCACUAGACACUUUGGCAGUUUAGUUGGAGAGGCGCUCGGACCCUGGUCAGUAGGAGGCACAUCCCGCGGUUUAAUUUGUCUGUGUGAAGAGGGAUCGGAUCACAGACCCAAUAAAUAGUCGUCGAAGGUGGACACCUUGAUAAAAAAAAUAUAUAUAUAUAUUUGCAACACUUCUCUCCAAUAUGUUACUCGCAUCGAUGUAUUUUAUUUAAAAGGUUGUGGGCAUUCACAGAUACAUUUAUUAGAUGCACCGACUCACCGACCACGUGGAAUGGCAAACAUUAAAACCGAUAGUGAUUUUAACGAGAUUGAAG
rnacentral:lncRNA from 1 species